rnacentral:lncRNA from 1 species
UCUCAUUUUUCCCGGGCUUUCGGUCGGCGUUUUCCUUUUGUCGCGGGUUUGGGCGCGCAUCGAACUCUGAAGGGUCGGGAAGGCCUGUCGUUGGAAUGUGGUUGAGUUCCAGGGAGUGUACAGGCUGGAGGAUGGGACAAGACCUAUCUCUGUAUCGAUCAAGCACGGCGUUGGUGUUCCAGCUCAUCACCAAUCCUAAGGAAUUCAAGUGCCUCCCAGGAUGAAUACAGGUUGUCUUGAUGGUGAUACAUUCAUCUGUCUUAAGAUCCCUGCUGAUCUGCUCAUGGUCAAACUCAUGGAAAGAGUUGAGAGUGGUGAGUACUUGUAACCUUGGUUAUAACUUGUCUCCAGUGCCAGUGAGGAGAGCAAGCAUCCUGUCUUAACCCCUGUCCUAGCCCCAGAGCCAGUAAUGGUGAACCCACUGGGGCUAACAGGGAGAGAGGAUGAAAACAUGUUCCGUAAGGAACUGUCUGAGGUACAGCAACUUCCAGUGGGUAGCAUUUGUUUAGCUUCCCUUGGCUUACAUAUUAGCUGGGAUCCUUUUGGUUUUUUAAGGUACUCUACUGAUUUCAUGAUCUUCUCAUUCAGGGGCACCUUGUUCCUGCAUCCUCAAAGGAGCAUCUUGUUCCUCCAUUUAAGCUUCCAGAGUUAAAAGGUUAGUUGAUUAAUGUCACCAUAAUAUAUGCCACCAAGUAAGCAGUUUCUGUGAUGAAUCAAACUAGCUCACUAUGAACUAACAAUGAAAAGAUAUGAACACCUGAGAAACUGGAGAACAGAGCAGUGGGAUACUGUCUGCUAGGAACUUAAUAUCACUUACAGUUUUGUCCUUUCCUAGGUACCUGUACCAUUUAGCGGCUUGUUCACUCAAAGGUGAGUGAUUUAUAUGUUGGUGCAUACCGUGUACUGAGGGAGAAAAUGCCUUUUUAGGCAUCUACACAUGAUGACUUACAUGGAAUCUCGUUCGGCUGAUGAUUUGCUGUUGAGACUCGGAAAUCUGAUUUUUUUUUUCUUUUAAGAACUUAAGUGGGAACAAAUUUUAAUGUAGGAAGUAAGCAUUACUGACUCAUUCUUGUUUUGUUUUAGAUCCAUCUUGUCUGGAGCCUGAGGAUGAUUGGAGGUGAAAGGUGUAAGCCAUACUCUGCUCAACUCCAGUCUGAAACUAAGGUUAAAAGAACACGUACUUAACACACGGGUAAGUAAGUAUCCAUUCACGUACUUGUGUUAAAUAUCAGACUAACUAUAUAAAUACAAUGUUCUAAGUCCGUUUUAGUAAGAACCCUAAACUGUUCUUUUUCUCUGCAGGAAUCCAACUCUUGGAGGACAUCAGAAGUGGAAUUUUCUUAUACAACCUACCUAUUCAAAUUAGCAUAUAAUCUUUCUAGCCUUUCUAAAUAAAUAAAGGGAUUUUUUUGUA